rnacentral:rRNA from 1 species
GGGGUUAGUGGCGCACGGGUGCGUAACGCGUGGGAAUCUGCCCUUUGCUUCGGAAUAACAGUUAGAAAUGACUGCUAAUACCGGAUGAUGUCUUCGGACCAAAGAUUUAUCGGCAAGGGAUGAGCCCGCGUAGGAUUAGGUAGUUGGUGGGGUAAAGGCCUACCAAGCCGACGAUCCUUAGCUGGUCUGAGAGGAUGAUCAGCCACACUGGGACUGAGACACGGCCCAGACUCCUACGGGAGGCAGCAGUGGGGAAUAUUGGACAAUGGGCGCAAGCCUGAUCCAGCAAUGCCGCGUGAGUGAUGAAGGCCUUCGGGUCGUAAAGCUCUUUUACCAGGGAUGAUAAUGACAGUACCUGGAGAAUAAGCUCCGGCUAACUCCGUGCCAGCAGCCGCGGUAAUACGGAGGGAGCUAGCGUUGUUCGGAAUUACUGGGCGUAAAGCGCACGUAGGCGGCGACACAAGUCAGAGGUGAAAGCCCGGGGCUCAACCCCGGAACUGCCUUUGAAACUAGGUUGCUAGAAUCUUGGAGAGGUCAGUGGAAUUCCGAGUGUAGAGGUGAAACUCGUAGAUAUUCGGAAGACACCAGUGGCGAAGGCGACUGA